UUCUCUCAAGAAAUAUGAUCUUGCAAGAGGCAAGUCAGACUACUUUUCAAUCACCUCUGUAUGCUACAAGGUGACGAAGGUUUUCUCCUCUUGCAAGUGCUAAAAGGCAAACUGUCUCCAGUGUGGUUCUUGCAAAGAAGUUAGCGUGAACACCACUCUAACACCAGGUGACUUUAUUUCCCACCUGUGAAGAGCUUAUCUGCGUGCUGAUGUGAGCUUGGAGUUUGGAAGCGACAAUCACAAACAACUACAACCAUUGUAAUGGCAACCCUUUUCUCCAUGACCCUUCUAAGACCGACCUGUGGCGGGAAUAUUCUCUGAGCUACCUCUUGAACACCUUUGGGACUGUUCCAAAAAUACUACGCACACUCAUGGCUCUCUCUCUCCAUCUAUGAGCUGCAAGCUGUUCCUGGUGCUGAAAUACCUCGAUGAUGAUGCUCUGUUCUCAUCUGUGUCAUGUCUUUUCAUCAUCUUUUUAGAAUUUAAGUGGUUUAACACAAGAAGUGGAGUGUGGAUAGUGCCCAGGAAAAAGAGGGUCACAGACGGCGGUCUGAUGGGUGGGAUUUAUUGUGUUUUAAUUCCUGCUUGUGAAGCACAUUAUGUUGCUUUUUAUUUAGUAAGAAAUGUACCAUAUCAAUAAAGUAUUGAUUAGUUGUCUCAUAACUGCAAGAAAAUAAAAAUCUGUUGGGGUACAGUAUCUGAUGGGGGAUCUGACUCCAAGAUUAUUCCAACAACUCUGCUGCAGUUACUUGGUACAAUAAUUUGUUUAUUAGUUCCUUGCUGAUGUUAGACAAUGAUAUUAUUUCAUUACACAUUAUUAAGAUGUUGAUUGUGUUGUUACAAAUGUAUUUGACAACUCAAGAGUUGCGAAGCGAUAACCAAGCACAUUCAAGGAAAUGUUGCGUGAUAUUUACUCCAAGAGCAUCUUGUCUGACACCAUUUCUAUUCUCAAUGAGAGGCACUACUUUUGGCAGACAUGUUUUUCUAUAAAAAAGUGAGUGACACACAAAAGAACAGCUUCUGGAAUGACGGUCCUAUCGCAUCUCUUCUUCAGCAGAGAGCAGGAUUUUCUUGUUACUUGUAUCAUUCACUGAAUAUUGAUAUUGUGACAACAAGGCAGUUUGCGUUAAAUAAUUUUCAUCUCUGCAGCAAACAGAAUCAGUAUUUAUCUACCAGAAAAGCACGUGGAUGCAGAGGAACGAGAUUAGGAAUAUAAAUAUUGGCGGUUUGCAGCGUACACUGCACAUGCAUGAGUGUGUGCGUGUCUACCUGUAACACAAUGUUGUUGUCCAGGAUGUAAAGGGAGUUGUCCAGAGGGUUAAUAGCCAAGUCUGUUGGCCACUCCAGACGUACCUGCACAAGCACACAGAGGAAAUACAGUUUGUUUUUAUAUUCAUACAUGAAUCAAAUAGCCUUGGUAGUGGCAGUGACCCUUAAGCGCUAGGUACAGGUGAUACAAAUAUUUAUCUGCUUAAUAACGUAGCAUUUGGCUGCCUGGCCCUUCCCGCAUAUGCAAAGGUCAGCGUCAGGCAGGGAGCAUUUUUUGUGUUUAUUCAACAGCCACAACUGCUCAUUUCGCCUGUGAUCCAAAUGUCAGCCAAUAACCAUGAUCGCCGCAUUCUGAAAAAGCGCACCCUGCUUACUAACUCUGUGGGGCUCAAAGAAAGACAAAACGAGACUAGAGCCACCCACAUUGCGGUGUCCAGCCCGCACCCAAACACACAAUAGAAAAAAACCCAAAAAAAAACAGGGUCUUUGUUUGAGGAGAUUUGUUGGAGGGGAAAAAGAGGUGAUUGAUGACUGUGGAGUGGGAUUGGUAAAUAAAUGGAUCAUGCUAAAUUGCUACUGACAUGUCCAAUUAUAGGCUCUGUCAAAUGGGAAAGAAGAGGUUUCAGUCUAAAAUCCCAUUUUAAUGGGUAGAGAAAUUAAUCAAGCAGGGCUCAUCCUGUCUUGAGACAAAAGACGACAAAUACCAGAUCUCUGUUCAUGAUACUGAGCUUUUCAGUAAUGGCAGGCAAAUGCGGCUGCAUACAAAGAGUCAGGUCUGAACAAGUUCUGUCAAAAACAGCUCAAAGUUUGGUCAAAGCAUUUUGGUGUUAGUGUAAGAAGUCAGUGUUGAAGUGAUUUAUUCAAAAGAAAGUUUGGACAUCCCAACAGGACGGACAUGGACAUUAUUUUUUUUUGCCAUAAAAUCUGGUGUUUUUGACUGACAUCAACUGAAGCAAUGGCGAAGACAAGGAUUUCAAGUGCUAAGGUUAUAUCCAGCAGAUUAUUCAUUCUAAU